UUGGAAAGAAUUGCAACUAUAUCAUACUUUUAUUGUUGUUUUAGUGCAGUUGUAAAGCCCUGUAAAAGCUGGGACUUUGGCUUCUGGUGCUACUAUCACUGAUAUUUCACCUGUUGUGUGAUCUUUGGUCAUCUUUUCGUUGUUCCUCCCGCUAAUCCGCUAUAUCAUGCUAACAGCCUAAUUAGUAUACACCCAUAAAAAAAAAAAUUUACUUCAACGGUGCUUAAUCCUGGGGAUACCCUUUCGAGUUUUCAAAAAGAGGCCCAAAUUUCGUGCUUGGGCUUUUCUUAUUUGACAAAUGGCCCAAAGACCUCUCUCGCGAUCUCUGCCGACUCCUCCCCCCUCGCGCCUCCUCGAUUGCGCCGCCCUCCGUUCGAGUCCCAAGGAGAUGGAGAUAGAUUGGCCACCGAUGGACGGCGGCCCCUUCUGCAGCCGCGCAACUGCGGUCCCGACUACGGCGAGGAUGGUUCGUGAGGGUGCCCAUGGAGCACUUUGGGAAGACGGUCAGGGCGAACCAACGGUGCACGGAGGAGGAGGUCUCAGCUGUCCUCUCCGGCGUGGAGCUGGCCUCAGCCGACGACUCCAUGUCCACGGAGGACGCUGUUACCCACCUCACCUCCUGCCUCCAGGUGCUCGCCGUCGACGUCUAAGGAAGAUCAAGAACCCCCUCGGGCCCCUGCCGGAGCACGGCCGGAUUCAGUUCCAUCAGUUCCAUUGACUCAACAUCAAGAACGACUCCCGACUCGAGGGCCUCAUCAAGAUGUCAGAUCCGGUGAGCUCCUCGCCUUCCUUCUCUCUCUCUCUCUCUCUCUCUCUCUCUCUCUCUCUCUCUCUCUCUCAUUUGCUGCCCGGCCGACAGGUCACCUCGUGAUCCCUUUUCUCUCCUCUUUCUCCGGAUGUCUACAGCGACAAGAUCAAGCACCUCCUCGAGCCCCCGCCAGAGCACGGCCGGAUCCAGUUCCACCAACUCAACAUCAAGAACGACUACCGACUCAAGGGCCAUCAAGAUGUUGGAUCUGGUAAGCUCCUCGCCUUCUUUCCUCCUUCCUCUUUCUCCGGAUUCAUUCUUAUUUGCUUCCUCACCCAAUUUAAUAUUUUUACAAAAGUCACUUUGUACUUAAAAAUGCAUUUUCAUUCAUCACGUUCAUAUGCUCUUAAAGCAUAAUUUUUCAAUAAUAAAAAUAAAACUUGGCUGAAUACUAGUUUAUAAGUUCAAGCGUGCCAUGCAGCAAUCGUGAUCUAGCGUUGGCUUAAAGAUUAGUUGAGAAAAAGAAAGCACGACCAAAACUAAAUUACAUAUAUCGGGUAUAAUGAUAAUAAUUAAUAAUAAUAAUAUGUAAUAUGUAAUAAGGUAACGAAACAUAAAAAUAUCAUACUUCACACAACAAGUGCAAAAAAUAAAACAAGCAACCAAAAAAUUUUAUCCAUUUGAACUUGCUUUGGACAUUGUCAUGUUUCAUAUUGGGUUUGAAUAUAUCUACCAUAUUAACUGGUAUUCGAUCCACGCAUAUAGGCUUGCAUAACGAAAGGCAAUUUGAUUUUACUUGCCAAAGACGACAAGAUACAAAACUUGACAUGGACAAACUGCGAGGUGUGGAUUUUUAUAGUGCCAAUCAGUAAUGCAAUUAGCCAUUUGUGAAGUGUGAAAAGUUACGUAGAUGACAUGAAUAUUGAGAAGAGUCUUUUAUCGACUCGGGUAUAUACCAUUGUGUAGGCGCUAAGUUGGCAUUUUGAUGAACCUAGUUUUGCUUUGCAUUUGUUUUCUUAGUAGUGCAAUCAAGUAUCAGGGUCCAUUUGGUUUAGUUAUUUGAGUUAGUGUAUGAUUCGAGUCUCAAUUUGAUAAAUUUAUUUAUGAGUUCAUGUGAUUAAGUUGAAUUAUUAAGGGAAUUACAACUGUGCUUAGUAUGUCUUAAUAGUCAAGCUCAUAAUUUCAGUUUAGCGCAUAUUUUAACCAACAUAAUGGUAUUACUUGCUAUUUAGUUGGUGCAUUGUGUUUGGUUAUAUUUGUCAAUUAAAAGACAUGGAAAAAGAGAGGUAUUUGACCCUCUUCAACUGCUUUUAGUUUGCAUUUUGCAGAGUCAUAUGAGUGAUUUAUAUUGCUUAGGAGAAUCUACAUGUAAAAGUGCAAUCAUUUUGGUGGGUAAUGUUGGAUGGAUUUCGAGUACUAUGUUUCUUCAUUUUGCACUCAUUAAAUUUCACAGAAUGGUUUUUUUUUCUUUUCUUUGUUUGUAUUGGAAAGAAUCGCAACUAUAUCAUACUUUUAUUGCUGUUUUAGUGCAGUUGUAAAGCACUCUAAAAGCUGGGACUUUGGCUUCUGGUGCUAUUGUCACUGAUAUUUCACCUGUUGUGUGAUCUUUGCUCAUCUUUUCGUGUUCCUCCCGCUAAUCCGCUAUAUCAUGCUAACAUCCUAAUUAGUAUAAUAUAUUUUGGGUUUUGAUAUAUUUAAAUAGAACAAAGAAAUAGCCAUGCAUUCCAGGAUCUUAAAACCCUAAAUCCUAAACCCUAAACCCUAAACCCUAAAACCCUAAAACCCUAAGCCCCAAGCCCCAAGCCCCAAGCCCCAAGCCCUAAGCCCCAGCCCCAAGCCCUAUUCUUCAACUUUCAUUCUUUUCAUUAUAUUCAAAAAUGAUUUUUUGUGAAAUAUAAUUAGUUUUAAUCAAUUUUCUGUCGUAUAAUAGCAAAAUAAUUUAGUGAAUAGAAAUACUAAUCCUCAUGCAUUAAUUCAACAUACCAAAGGUUUUCCUAAACAUCGAUUAAAGUAGAAUUCAUGGAUAAGUUUCGCCUUAUAAAACCUAAUAUCAUACAAAUAUUAGUAAGUACAUAGUACCACAUCACUAAUCAAAUAAACCUAGAGAAAGUGACAUCCAAGAGAAAGCCGUGAUCUACUUUAAACUGAUGACCUGCUUUAAACUAUGUUACCUAUAUUUCUCCACUUGCGAGGUGUAUGGGACUACUAUUGGGAGCUUUCUCCCAAAGGAUCACCCUUUGCUACAGGUGAUAUUGCCCUCUUUAUUUUUUGUUUGCAAUUGUUUCUCAAACUUUUCCGUUAUGCUCUUAUCUGCACAAAACGAUGAAAAUACGAAAAAAAAAAAUCAAAAAGUCAAGUUGGCUAGUUUUCAUUCCCCCAUUUUCUCGUGAUAACUAAAAAAAAAAUUGAAACUUGCAAGAGCAGUUGCACAUUUGUAAUGGUGUUGUAGAGUUACGUGAUUCCGCAAUAAUGUAUGUUUGGUGUUUGAAUGUGUAUUUAAGCUGGUCCUUGAUCCUAGUCCUAGUGCUAGCUUCUAACAUAGUUUAAAGUGGGUCAUCAGUUUAAAGUAGGUCACUAUUUUCUCUUGGAUAGAGAUAGUGUCACUUUCGCUAUGGUUACUUGAUUAGUCAUGUGGUACUAUGUCUUUACUGUUGGUGAUAAAAUUUUCUCUCUAAAUAAAGCUGUGGAUUUUUUUGUUCAUGAACUGAAUAGGUUCAAUAGUAAAUUUGAUCAACGACAAAAUGUUUCUAACAAAAUUAUUAUAUAUUUCACACUAGGAAGAAUAUAUGAAAGUUGAUUAGACCAAUUGCUUCUCUAGAGGAGCAUAGUUCACAUGUUCAAGAAUUUGAUUGAUGAUAUGUUAAUUAUGUUAUCAUCCAAAAGCAUGAUCAUGAGUUCUAGGACAAUUGAGAUAAUAAAAAAUUGUUUUCAAUGGAUAUUUUCACCUAGCUAUUGAGGACUCCAAUAAAUUGAAUUUGAGGAUGAAAUUUACUUUGGGAUUGGUAGGUGACCUACAAUGUGAUAACAUGUAGUUGAUAAUCGACUUCUUUUCAAGUUGAACUAUAGGAUUAUUUGAUUGGCCCAAAUAUGUGUGUUUGACUAUACAUUGAAUCAAGUGAUAUUGCGGCAUAAUAUUCCGUGCAAAUUUGUGUUGAGAAAAUUUGUAUGAUAUUAGGUUUUAUAAGUAGAAGGUUAUCCAUGAAUUCUACUUUAAUCGAUGUUUAGAAGAACCUUUAGUAUGUUGAAUUAAUGCACAAGGAUUAGAUUUCUAUUCGCAGAAUUUUUAAUAUAAUUUCCUAAUAAGUGUAUGUGUGUUUGAGGAUGCAUUAAUAAAUAUUUUUAUUCUAGGGAUAAUCCACUAUUCUAGGAUAUAGAGAAAUAAAAGAAAUUUUGUGUUUGAUUUGAUAUUUUUUUUAUAUUGCCAAGAUUGCUC
rnacentral:lncRNA from 1 species